UAGCUCAGUUGGUAAAGAAUCUGCCUGCAAUGCAGGAAACCCAGGUUCGAUCCCUGG
rnacentral:tRNA from 1 species